rnacentral:rRNA from 1 species
CCCUUAGAUGUUCUGGGCCGCACGCGCGCUACACUGUUCGACGCAGCGAGUCUUAACCUUGACCGAAAGGUUUGGGUAAUCUUCAGCAAAGUCGAACGUGAUGGGGAUCGAUCAUUGCAAUUAUUGAUCGUGAACGAGGAAUUCCUAGUAAGUGCAAGUCAUCAGCUUGCGCUGAUUACGUCCCUGCCCUUUGUACACACCGCCCGUCGCUACUACCGAUUGAAUGGUUUAGUGAGAUCUCUGGAUUGACGCUGGCUAGGGGGCGACCCUUGGCCAGACUGCUGAGAAACUGCUCAAACUUGAUCAUUUAGAGGAAGUAAAAGUCGUAACA